rnacentral:rRNA from 1 species
GACGAACGCUGGCGGCGUGCUUAACACAUGCAAGUCGAACGAAGUGGGAACGGGUGAGUAAUACGUGGGUAACCUCCCUCCUUUUUGGGAUAAGCCUUGGAAACGGGGUCUAAACCGAAUAGAUGGGCUCGCGGCCUAUCAGCUUGUUGGUGGGGUGAUGGCCUACCAAGGCGGUGACGGGUAGCUGGUCUGAGAGGAUGAUCAGCCACACUGGGACUGAGACACGGCCCAGACUCCUACGGGAGGCAGCAGUGGGGAAGAUUGCACAAUGGGCGCAAGCCUGAUGCAGCCAUGCCGCGUGUAUGAAGAAGGUUUUCGGAUCGUAAAACUCUGUUGUUAGAGAAGCGGUAUCUAACCAGAAAGCCACGGCUAACUACGUGCCAGCAGCCGCGGUAAUUC